rnacentral:rRNA from 1 species
CUACGGGUGGCAGCAGUGGGGAAUAUUGGACAAUGGGCGAAAGCCUGAUCCAGCCAUGCCGCGUGUGUGAAGAAGGCCUUCGGGUUGUAAAGCACUUUCAGUGGGGAAGAAAGCCUUGGGGCUAAUACCCUCGAGGAAGGACAUCACCCACAGAAGAAGCACCGGCUAACUCCGUGCCAGCAGCCGCGGUAAUACGGAGGGUGCGAGCGUUAAUCGGAAUUACUGGGCGUAAAGCGCGCGUAGGCGGUCUGAUAAGCCGGUUGUGAAAGCCCCGGGCUCAACCUGGGAACGGCAUCCGGAACUGUCAGGCUAGAGUGCAGGAGAGGAAGGUAGAAUUCCCGGUGUAGCGGUGAAAUGCGUAGAGAUCGGGAGGAAUACCAGAGGCGAAGGCGGCCUUCUGGACUGACACUGACGCUGAGGUGCGAAAGCGUGGGUAGCAAACAGGAUUAGAUACCCCAGUAGUC